rnacentral:rRNA from 1 species
AUUGAACGCUGGCGGCAGGCCUAACACAUGCAAGUCGAACGAGUGGCGGACGGGUGUGUAAUGUCUGGGAAACUGCCCGAAGGGGGGGGAUAACUACUGGAAACGGUAGCUAAUACCGCAUACCAUCGGAUGUGCCCAGAUGGGAUUAGCUUGUAGUGGGGGUAACGGCUAACCUAGGCGACGAUCCCUAGCUGGGCUGAGAGGAUGACCGGCCACCCGGGAACUGAGACACGGUCCAGACUCCUACGGGAGGCAGCAGUGGGGAAUAUUGCACAAUGGGCGCAAGCCGGAUGCAGCCAUGCCGCGUGUAUGAAGAAGGCCUUCGGGUUGUAAAGUACGUUCAGCGAGGAGGCGUUACUCGCAGAAGAAGCACCGGCUAACUCCGUGCCAGCCGCCGCGGUAAUAC